UUUCCGUAGGUGAACCUGCGGAAGGAUCAUUCAUAAUAAUGGUUUUAUGGCACUUUUUUAAAUCCAUCUCCACCUACUGUGCAAUCUCUGGGUUGAUUUUUCUCUCGAGAGGAGCAGCCGCAAACAUCAACUAUAUCUCAACUCUUUGUCUGAAAAAUAUUAUGAAUAAAACAAUUCAAAAUACAACUUUCAACAACGGAUCUCUUGGCUCUC
rnacentral:misc_RNA from 1 species